rnacentral:rRNA from 1 species
AUGAGGACCAAGAUGUUGGAGGGUGACGUGCAAGCGAUCACUAGAUGUAGUUGGAACAGUCUUGAGCUUGAGAACAUUACCAUUUUAUACCCUAUUCUUAUCAAUUUUCUUCAAUGCUUCCUAUUCCUAGCAACGACUGCUUUGGAGCAGAUGAAUCAUAGCCUUGUAUUGGACAAGCCAAUUAGAGUAUUGUGGUCUAACCAAGAUCCUGAUGCCAGGAGAAGUGGCAUUGGAAAUGUGUUUGUUAAGAACUUUGGUGAGCACGUUGACAAUGUAACUCUUCAAGAACUAUUCUCCAAGUUUGGAGAGCUAUUAUCUUGUAAAGUUGUUAGAAAUGAGGAUGGCACAAGUAGAGGCUAUGGUUUUGUUCAAUUUGCAGCGCAAGAGCCGGCAGACAUCGCAAUAGAGACUCUUAACAACUCUUACUUUGAGGGCAGAGAAUUGCUUGUAGCUCAUUUCAUUAAGAAGAGCGAACGAUCAGCCAAUAAUGAUGACAAAUACACUAACUUGUAUAUGAAGAAUAUAGAUGACGACAUGACAAAAGAACUCAUUAAAUUGAAGUUUUCUCAUCAUGGUCAAGUAACUAGUGUGAAGAUAAUGAAGAGAGAUGAUGGGACAUCCAAGGGUUUUGGGUUUCUUAGUUUCAAAAACCCAGAAAGUGCCAAGAAAGCAAAAGAGGCCAUGAAUGGGAUGGCUCUUGGUGUCAUGUUUUACGGCAAACCAUUGUAUGUUGCUAUUGCUCAAAGGAAAGAGGACAGAAAAGCUAGGCUGGAGCAACCGUUUGCUGAACUUGCUAUGAUGGAAGGAACUGCAAGUCCCGUGAUCCCCACAGGUUAUCCUCAUGUGUAUUUUGCCCAUCCCAGUACACACUUUCCUCAUGGUCUGUCAAGAAACAACAGGGGACGCAUGACCGGGAAUAUGAUGACUUUUCCCCACGCCGUUAAUUAUGUGUCACAUGCUCAGACAGCUAAAGAUUUCAUGUCCAUGUCCCGGCAGCCUGAUCUGGCCAGUAAGAUCACUGGAAUGUUACUGGAGCUAGAUAAUUCUUAUCUGCUGUCGAUGCUAAAUUCGCAGGAUACCUUGUCUACAAAAGUUAACGAGUGUGUGCAAGCUCUGCAAGGGCAGCAAGCGGCAAAAAAUAAGACUGCGGAUCUAGAGUCCCUACACCCUAGCUUCCUGAACUCUACCGGUGUAAAUGCCAACUGA